rnacentral:RNase_P_RNA from 1 species
ACGGAGCGGGAUGCAAUCGCUGUUGUAGAAGCUCAGCUUCUACAAGAGAGGAAAGUCCGGACUUCAGAGGAAAAGGUGCCAGCGAAAUGCUGGGGGCCGUAAGGCUACGGAAAGUGCAACAGAAAACAGGCCGCUGAUCUGCAAGGAUUAGACAGGAUGAAAAUGCUGGGUUAAUGACCUAGCCCCGCGGCAGAGAUGCCCCGGAGAGGCAAACCCCACCUGAAGCAAGAAAAGAGUCUAAUCUGUUUUUCGCAAUGGGACUCUUUCAAUGUCGCUUGAGGGUCUUAGUAAUAAGGUCCCUAGAUGAAUGAUUGCAACCUACGGUUUGUGGGUGACAGAAUCCGGCUUACUCCCCUUCCGGGAAU